rnacentral:lncRNA from 1 species
CUAGUCUUCAAUAUUCCUAGCACUGUUUUCAUCCAUUUUAGUUCAGAGCUUUCUUUUUUAUUAAAUAUAUAAAUGCUUUUUAAAUCUAAGUAUAUGUCCUCUAGUUGAUUUCAAUAAAAAAAUAAUUCUCUGGUAGACCAGAAAAUCAGUCAAUAUCCCCGACAUAAUAUUUUUUCUUCCAUCAUUCAAAAGUCGAUUUUGAAUCCGAGUGAAUGUUCUAAUUUUUAUGCAACUCCAAUCACCUCCCUGUGGAUC